rnacentral:rRNA from 1 species
AACGAACGCUGGCGGCAUGCCUAACACAUGCAAGUCGAACGAGACCUUCGGGUCUAGUGGCGCAUGGGUGCGUAACGCGUGGGAACCUUCCCUUAGGUUCGGAAUAACUCCCCGUCAGGGGGGAUAACAUCGGGAAACUUCCUCUGAUCAAAGAUUUAUCCCCUUUGGAUGGGCCCGCGUUGGUUUAGCUUGUUGGUAGGGUAAAAGCCUACCAAGGCGACGAUCCAUAGCUGGUCUGAGAGGAUGAGCAGCCACACUGGGACUGAGACACGGCCCAGACUCCUACGGGAGGCAGCAGUGGGGAAUAUUGGACAAUGGGCGAAAGCCUGAUCCAGCAAUGCCGCGUGAGUGAUGAAGGCCUUAGGGUUGUAAAGCUCUUUUACCCGGGAUGAUAAUGACAGUACCGGGAGAAUAAGCUCCGGCUAACUCCGUG